rnacentral:lncRNA from 1 species
CCAAAUGUUCAUUAAUAAAAUAAAAUUUGAGCUCACACAUUUAAAUAAAUUAGGCCCAAGAAUUAGCAGCCCAACACCCAUUUCAUACCUCAUUUAAUCUCACUCUCUCUCUCCCUAAUUCAAUACACACACGCACACAGAAACACACUCAUACACGCACAAACCAGCGCACCCUCUCUCCCUCUCUCAGCCUUCCCGCUGCCGCCGCCGCCUGAAGACGGCGUCGCCCAGCGCCUUCCUUCUCUCUCCCAGCCUCCAUCUCUCUCCCUGACCCCUCUCACCCUCUCGACCAGUCGGCCACCGGUGAAGAGCGCCGGCGCCGCCCCUGUUCCAGCGAGCAGCCAGCCGCCGCCGUUACACCGGACGCCGUCUCCUCCAGCCCGGCGCUGUCCCCCUUCUCUUCUUUCUUCGGCCGGCAGCAACGACUGCUGUCGCCGUCACUUCGGCGGACAACAGAGCUGCUCCGCCGCCUCCUCCCCUUUACCCCAGAUCUGGCGCC